UGGACAGAUUAUUGUAUUCAAGUAUAUUCGACUGUAUUCGUGGCGUAAACAUGGGAAUACACUGUUUUUAAACGAAAAGUGAAUCAAUUAACAUAAUAGACUCCU
rfam:Nicotiana sylvestris Nsyl_contig12625, whole genome shotgun sequence.